rnacentral:rRNA from 1 species
GGGCGUAAGGGCUCGCAGGCGGUUUCUUAAGUCUGAUGUGAAAGCCCCCGGCUCAACCGGGGAGGGUCAUUGGAAACUGGGAAACUUGAGUGCAGAAGAGGAGAGUGGAAUUCCACGUGUAGCGGUGAAAUGCGUAGAGAUGUGGAGGAACACCAGUGGCGAAGGCGACUCUCUGGUCUGUAACUGACGCUGAGGAGCGAAAGCGUGGGGAGCGAACAGGAUUAGAUACCCUGGUAGUCCACGCCGUAAACGAUGAGUGCUAAGUGUUAGGGGGUUUCCGCCCCUUAGUGCUGCAGCUAACGCAUUAAGCACUCCGCCUGGGGAGUACGGUCGCAAGACUGAAACUCAAAGGAAUUGACGGGGGCCCGCACAAGCGGUGGAGCAUGUGGUUUAAUUCGAAGCAACGCGAAGAACCUUACCAGGUCUUGACAUCCUCUGACAACCCUAGAGAUAGGGCUUUCCCUUCGGGGACAGAGUGACAGGUGGUGCAUGGUUGUCGUCAGCUCGUGUCGUGAGAUGUUGGGUUAAGUCCCGCAACGAGCGCAACCCUUGAUCUUAGUUGCCAGCAUUCAGUUGGGCACUCUAAGGUGACUGCCGGUGACAAACCGGAGGAAGGUGGGGAUGACGUCAAAUCAUCAUGCCCCUUAUGAC